GUAAAAAAGGCGUAACUUUCCCUAUUUAUUGUACUAUCCAGGAGGAGUUUGAUCUCGCCUGACGCAGAUUUCUGCUCUGCGGUUGUUUUACCAGGAGUCUUCAAGGAUAAACCUGCAAGAUGUCGAAAGACGUCCCACGUGAGCCGGAGCAGCUCCGCAAGCUGUUCAUUGGAGGCCUGAGCUUUGAGACAACAGAUGAGAGCCUGCGGGCUCACUUUGAACAAUGGGGGUCCCUUACAGACUGUGUGGUCAUGAGAGACCCCAACAGCAAGAGGUCCAGGGGUUUCGGCUUUGUUACAUAUUCAUCAGUACAGGAAGUUGAUGCGGCCAUGGCUGCCCGUCCCCACAAAGUGGACGGAAGGGUUGUGGAGCCUAAGCGUGCAGUUUCUAGAGAGGACUCAAACCGUCCAGGUGCUCAUGUAACGGUCAAGAAAAUCUUUGUUGGAGGCAUCAAAGAAGACACAGAGGAGUCACACCUUAGGGAUUACUUCCAGCAGUUUGGCAAAAUUGAGGUCAUUGAUAUCAUGACCGACCGCAACACUGGAAAGAAGAGGGGUUUUGCUUUUGUCACGUUUGAUGACCAUGAUUCAGUGGAUAGGAUCGUCAUUCAGAAAUAUCACACAAUCAACUCUCACAACUGUGAAGUGAGGAAGGCCCUCACCAAGCAGGAAAUGCAGAGUGUAGGAAUGGGAAUGAGAGGAGGGCGUAACAGUGGUGGGAGGCCAUAUGAUUAUGACAGAGGCUUCAACCAGGGAGGCAGAGGCCGAUAUGGAGAUGGUCCUAAUAACUGGAACGAUGGUGGCCUUCUAACGAGCCAUCAGCCAUCAUCUGAUACAGGUUACGGAGGCGGUCCUGGUGGUCCUGGCGGCUAUAACAACGGCGGCAACAGAGGUUAUAACCAGGGCUAUAACCAGGGUGGUGGUGGAGGUGGCGGCGGAGGCUACGGUGGAAACAGCUAUGACAGCAAUGGUUAUGGUAACUGUGGAGGAGGUGGUGGCGGCGGUGGGAGCAACUACAACAACAUGGGCCAUUAUGACCCCCAGGCCUCUAACUUUGGCCCAAUGAAGAACAACUUUGGCGGUGGCGGCGGCGGCGGCGGUGGCGGCAGGAGCUUUGGUGGCUACGGAGGUGGCUCUAACAAUCCCGGUGGCUAUGGCCGCCCAGGACGAUUUUAAAAUAAGUGAAAACUUUAUGGUCCCUGAAAUGUGACUUCAUUUCCAUGACAAUGACUCACAGGUUAACUGGACAGUUGUGCAAUGCAGAAGUGUUUUAACUUCAUUGAAGAGUGGAGUGCAGAUUUUAUUUUUUUUUUUACAUCUCUUUUUUUUUUUUUUAAUAAAUUUUUAUACAUUUUAAAUGAUUUGGUUUUAGUCAUUUUUUUUUAAGGAGCAGAAAAUGUUUACAGUUACGUUUGGCAAGUUUACUCAAACUGUUGCAAAACUCACAAGCAAGUCGUUUAGUCCACUUGCUGGACUGAAAUAGUUUAACAUUGGUCUCUCUUAUCCAUUGAAUGAGGUACCAAAUAAAUACUUCCAUCAGGAGUUUGUUGUAAAGAAUAUUCAUCUAUGGAGUAAGGCUGGCCGUCUUCAUCUCGUAAAUGAGAGAAAACGUCCUUGUAGAGGUCUGUGAGUCGGCAUUUGAUGAAAGUCAAGCUACGUUGGAACUCCAGCCGCUCCUGUGCCAGAUGUUCUCUUUGGGCUUGCAGGUGGUUCAGCUCUCUCUCCAAGUGAACAAUGCUCUCCAGCUUCCUCUUCCUGCAGUUCUGUGCCGCCACCUUGUUCUUUCCUCUGCGCCUAAUGUCUCUGACCAGUGCGAGUUGAGUGUCUGUCAAAGUGUACUGUGUCAAGAGCUCAUUGAAGUCAUCCACAGGGAGAUUGAUGAUCUUAUCCAAGGGGAAGGGAAUCUUCAGAGCCACAGCCUUGCGCUCAUCUCUGCUCAGAGGAACAGGAGUGGAGCUGCUGCCUUGUGACUUUGUGUGCAUGCUGUAUGAGCUCCCUCUGCUGGUCACUGUUGCAUUGCCGUAUAGAUCAGCGGUAACGGGCUGUUUCAGAGGUCGAGGAUUCGUAGAACAAGUUUGUGAAUGAGAGUAAUUGGGUUGAGGUGAAAAGUAAGGUGCGUGUCCACCUGAGUGUAGAUAUGGGAGAGUUUGACUCUGAUAGUCCAUUGGAUAAUGCAUGUGGCCUCUUCUGCCAUGCUCAGUCAUGCUUUCUGGUUCACAUUCACUAUAUUGUGUUCCCAUAUCAAUAUUUUGGUAACCUGGUCCACCUCCGACUGGAUUGUCUGGAGAAGCCAAAGGUGGGCUGGAUCCCAGUGAGAGACCUGAAUCUGAUUCCAGAUCAUCCCCAGAGCGAACAUGGGCGUUUUGCCCCAGCGUAGUCCACAGCAUGUGUCGACUUAAACCCUGAGAGAUGUUGUUGUUUGGCCUUCUAUGACCCUGAGCGGUACCUGCCAUGUUUAUAAGAGACGGCUGAGCGUGGGGCGAGAUGGGAAGCAUUCUGUGAGGCAGCUGUGAAUCUACAUUUCCAUACGCCGCAUCUGUGUUGUUGUUGAGACGUUGGCAGGCAGGAACUUCUUCAGAGUAACAUCCCUCGUAAGUGUCAGCAGUGCUCAGCUCACAGGCGGCAGCAGGAGGAGGUUCUGAAUGGGACUGAGUCAUCCCAAACUCUCCAGCGGGGGCCAUAGGCUGCAUGGAUUGAUAAUGUGCAGCUUGGUAGGAGUUUCCACUUUGGACUUCGAAUUCCUGUAAUAAAAGAGCAGAGUUAUUAAAGGCAAGCAGAACUACGCAGUUUUCACCCUCGGCUAUACAAUCCUGCCUGUUCUAUAAAAUAAUGUAUAACGUUUUAUUGUAUCUCAUCAGCAAGAUGAUUUAAUAGUUUCAUUUUGGAAAUAUGUCAAAUUGUCACCUUAUUUGAGGAUGUAUCAAUUACCAUAUGAAGUUCUAUAGAAAAAUGUUAACAUAGUAUUUUUGAAAAUUGUUAAAAGGAAUUAUUUAGUGACACAUUGGCCCUUUAAAUUAUGCUGUGAUUUCAGAUGACAACACAUUUUCUUAAACAUGAUAAAUAUUAUCCACGCACAUACCUAAAAUUGCAUCCUCUCGAAAUUUCAUGAAAUUUGUAAUACAAGUUCAAUUUUGUUUUUUUCUUUUCUUUUUUGAAGAAAGUUGUAAGCUGCAGGAUCACAACUCUAAACUAUGUAGCUUCUUUCAAGUGACUCGGCGCUUUCUGGUUUGCUUUCCUCUCCGAUGACUGUUUCAUCUAAAUGUUUUCAUUUCUUGUAUUUGGAGACCUUUAUCAUAAAAUUUAUGGAGCAUUUCUAAGAAUUUUUGAAAAUAUCCUCAUCUGUAUUAUUUAUUUAUGUUUUUAUUAUUAUUUUUUUUUAAUCACGUAGAACUUUAUUCAUAAACAUUCCUACAAAUGCACCAACCUUUAUCAAUAAAAUAUUUUUAAUUAGAGAUUAGAUUUAUAAAGUGUUUUAAACAUUUGAUAAAAUGCAUGACAUUUCUAACUUUAAUCAUAUCUCGAUGUCAUUUUCAAUAAUUGAAUUGUUGCCUUGCAGGGAAAAGGUCCUCUGUUUAAAUCAUGACCUGGGUCCGUCCCAGAUAAGUUUUGUAUGCUCUCUACAUGCAUGUGUGGGUUCUCGGGCCUCUUCAUGGUCCAGGUAUAUGCAUCAAAAGUUCGCCUGUCGUCUAAAAUGCCACUAAGUGCUAACAUGACAAGGCAGGCACCAGUGCACUUUCUCACGCACAUCAUCUAACUUCAUCAAAUAUUACUUCUUAUUAUGUUUUUAGCAAGUGAUAAAAAUAUGUAUGUAUUUUCUUUACAACAAACUCCUGAUGGAAGUAUUUAUUUGGUACCUCAUUCAAUGGAUAAGAGAGACCAAUGUAAUUCUUUGUGGCUUUCAACAGUGUUUUAGGCAACUCACUUUGGGGAAAAGACUCUAGCAGUUGUCACAUUUAAAAUACACGCUGUAGGAUUUAAGGCUCUGGUUGCUGUGAUGCUUUGCAAAUAACAUUUCUACAAGCUGCACUUCCCUUUUUACUUUGCGUAUGUAACUGUUGUCUUACGUUGUUUUUCUGAUUAUUUCUUUUAAAACGACAAAAACCCUGACUGAUUUUCACAAAAAUUGCGUUUAUUUUGUUCUAGUUGUUGACAAAGUUAAGACAUUUUGUCAUAAUUUAUUAAUUUGUUGAGCAAAUAUAUAUCAUAUUAGUUAAAACAAGUAUAUAAAAAAUACAUAUUUACAUAUUUAAUUGAUAAUGGUUAUGUCAAUGGCAAGUAAGGUAUAAAAAAAUGUAAGGAAUUUAUGGUACAAAACCGCUUAGUUUUUUAUUUUUUAUUAUUGAAUUUGACUUUGUACAUGUAGAAAAACGCUUUCUUUUGCAUGCUCAUUGUGUUCCGCUUCAACUACUAAAUACUUCUUUAAUCUUUCCGAGGCGGCCCAUUUGCUCACAGAUCUGUAAUAUUGGUACAGAUCAGAAUUUUUAUUUGUCGAAAGAGAAAACUAAGAAAAAAACUAACCAUUUCACUUACUUUUAAUUAACACUUUGUUGUGCCCUCUUGUCACAAAAGUAAAAAUAAAACUGCACAGCAAAAAAAAAAAAAAAAAAGCUAAUUUUUAUACCACAUGUUAGAAGGUAGAAAAAUCACCAUGUUUGUUUGUUAUUAAAAGAUUACUAAAGAACACA